AUAGAGUAAAUUGCACAUCCAAUUAUCUAAGGCUGCGUUUGGUUCGGGUAUAAGUAAGAACUGCUAGUUCUAGGGAUAGGUACAAGUUCAGGUAUAAACAGAAAUUAUACCAAUUUUGCGUUUGGAUGAAAAUUGGGUUGUUCAUAAGAAUAAGGUAAAUAGUGUUUGGAUGAUUAGAUUGGAACAAAAGGAAUAAGCAUUAUAAUUUGAAAUUAAAAUUAUAUUAUGUAAUUAAUUAACAUAAAAAUAUUACUUAAAAAUAAAUAAAAUUUAAUUACUAAUAAUUAAUUAUAAAUAAUAAUUAUUAAUAAUAAUUAAUUAUAAAUAAUAAAUUAUUAAUAACGAUUAUCUAAUUAAUUAUUAUUAUUAUUAUUAUUAAUUAUUAAUAAAUAAUAAUUAUUAUUAAUUAUUCUUAUUAAUUAAUUAUAAAUAAUAAAUUAAUUAAUUAUUUAAUUAUUAAAAUAAUAAAUAAUAAUUUAAAUAUAUUAAUUAGAUUAAUUAAUAAUUUACUGCCAUUAAAAUUAAAUUUAGAUUUUAAUUAAUCUUGUUCUCAUCAAGGAACAAGCUUGUUCCAGGAAACGGGUGGAACAGUAGUUCCAGCCUUAUACGAGCUAGUUCCAGAUUUCCGAAAAUUACUGUUUCCGGGAGCCAAACAUAACGUUUGGGAACAAAGGGGGGAACAAGGGCUUAUUCCCCCCUUUGUUCCCCAACCAAACGCUACCUAAGAGAUUAAAACUUUUGAACUUUAAUAUUAAAAAAAAGGAUUAACAAGACUACUUAGUAAAUAUGAGCUUUUGAAAGAUUAAAAUAUAUAAUUUAUAUUUCAUAAUAGAGUAAAAAAAAUAACAGUACUUAUGUCAAAAGUUGAUGAGAAAUAAAAUUAUUCGAAUAGGACAAGUGUUAGGUUAUAUUUGGUUGACAUGUCACUUCAUUUCUUUCUCAUCUUAUCUUAAAAAAAGAAAAGUAGAUAAAUUUUGUUAGGAAAAUAAAGAGGCAUCUCAAAGCUAAAGAACAACAAAAAGGUUGGAAAAAAGUAAACUAAUUUAUCUACCAUGUUUCAUCUUAAACCAUUUAAUUGACCCCAUCCGUGCACACUCGUAACGUUUGAUAUUCUAUCAUGUGAUAACUUGCCACAUUUAUAUAUUCCAUUAUAUUUAUUCCUCCACUAGGAGAGUUUUGAUUUGACGUAAUUAUAAAUAUAAUAUAAUUAGAGGUGAAUAUAAUUGAAUAUAUAAUAAUUUAUAUGUAUUUUGUUUGAUACGAAAAUUUACAAAAUUUAAUUAUUAUGAUAUAUAUAUAUAUAUAUAUAUAUAUAGUUGGACUGGGCUACUAUUAGUAGCAAAAUCCCAUUGUUGCUACCAGUUUUUUAGCCUUUGGAUCNAUAUAUAUAUAUAUAUAUAUAUAGUUGGACUGGGCUACUAUUAGUAGCAAAAUCCCAUUGUUGCUACCAGUUUUUUAGCCUUUGGAUCAACUCUUUUCAUUAUUUCUAACCAUUGGAUUAAAUACUAUAACCCAGUGGGGACCACUCAAUCCUAGGGGGACCACUCAACUCUAACUGACUAAUAUCAUCCUGACCCUACAAUUUUUCAUCCAAGAGUUAAAAACUUGAUAGCAAAAAAAAGCGUUUUACUAUUAAUAGUAUUCCAGCCUAAUUAUAUAUAUAUAUAUAGUUCGGCUGCUAUACUAUCGGUAGCACGAAGGACUCGGUACUACCAAGUUGUUUUCAAGCUCUAAUCAUGAUGUCGAAAAAAAUCUAAAAUUUAGUUUUCAAAUGACGGAGCCAAUCAUCGAUUUGGAAGCCGUAUCAUCGAAAACAACUUGGUAGCACAGAGGCCUCCGUGCUACCAAGUUGUUUUCGAUGAUGCGGCUUCCAAAUCAACGAUCGGCUCCGUUAUACUUGAUCUAUACUAUUAAAAGUAUUUAGAAACUAAAUUUUAUAAUUUUUCGAUAUCAUUUACCCAUCAAACAAAUAGUCUAAAAUUGAACGGUUGAAAAUAAAAAUCUCAUAAAAAAUGAUAAUAAAAGACUUAAAUUCAAGAUUAGAUAUACUAAUCUUACUCUAAAUAGUGAAAAGAAUUUUCUAUAAAAUUUUCAUCCGAUUUGAAUUGUUUUAUACCGUUAAACUCACAAACACACCACAUCGACCAUUAAAAUUGUCAAUUUUGAGAUCUUUUGAUCACUAGUCAAAUGAUGUUGAAAAAAUUUGAAAUUUAGUUUUCAAAUACUUUCAAUAGUGUAGAUCAAGUCUAACGGAGCCGAUCGUCGAUUUGGAAGCCGCAUCAUCGAAAACAAUUUGAUAGCACGGAGGCCUCCGUGCUACCGAUAGUAUAGCAGCUGGACUCUCUCUCUCUCUAUAUAUAUAUAUGGAAUUGAGCUCCUAUAUUUUUAAAAGUACGAAGUCAUUGGUGCUUGUAAGUUUUUGGCCCUUGGAUUAAGGAAUGUGUGGUUAGUAUGAUGUGGGCCCCCUAGGGUUGAGUGGGUGGUUGGUUGAAUAAUAUAAUCUAACGGGUAAAAAUGAUCAAAGGAAUAGAUCUAACGGUAAAAAAUUUACAAACACAAAGUGCUUAGUGCUUUUACAGGCACCAUAGCUGGACUCUAGAUAUAUGAUGAUAAGAUUACUUUUAUAUAGGGAAGAAAAAAAAACUAUUUAAAAAGUUAUUAAGAAGAUAAGUUUACUUUUACUUAAGAUUUUUUUCUCUAAGUGCUGCAGUUGGAACUGCAGUAAUUUUGGGUGUAGUUCCAACUAUUGCAAUUGAGCCUUCUCAUACAGUUAAAUUUAAAUGUAUCAAAAUAUAUGCUAAAUUUGAAUUAACAUACGGUUACUAUUGU
rnacentral:lncRNA from 1 species